UUGGGGAUUUUGCACAAUGGGCGAAAGCCUGAUGCAGCGACACAGCGUGAAGGAUGAAGGUUUUCGGAUCGUAAACUUCUUUUAGUGGGGAGUAAUCUUGAAAGUACCCACUGAAUAAGGACCGGCUAACUACGUGCCAGCAGCCGCGGUAAUACGUAGGGUCCGAACGUUAUCCGGAAUUAUUGGGCGUAAAGAGUUCGUAGGUGGUUUUGUAAGUUGGGUAUUAAAUCUAUCGGCUCAACCGAUAAACUGUACUCAAUACUGCAGAACUUUGUGGUUUGCAGGGGCAGAUGGAAUUCAUGGUGUAGCAGUGGAAUGCGUAGAUAUCAUGAAGAACACCAAUGGCGAAGGCAGUCUGCUAGGCUCUCCAGACACUGAGGAACGAAAGCGUGGGUAGCGAACGGG
rnacentral:rRNA from 1 species